UGGGGAAUAUUGGACAAUGGGCGCAAGCCUGAUCCAGCAAUGCCGCGUGAGUGAUGAAGGCCUUCGGGUUGUAGAGCUCUUUUGCCUGCGACGAUGAUGACGGUAGCAGGAGAAUAAGCCCCGGCUAACUUCGUGCCAGCAGCCGCGGUAAUACGAAGGGGGCUAGCGUUGUUCGGAAUUACUGGGCGUAAAGGGCGCGUAGGCGGCCCUGUCAGUCAAGCGUGAAAGCCCCGGGCUCAACCUGGGAAUUGCGCCUGAUACUGCAGGGCUUGAGGGUCGGAGAGGAUGGUGGAAUUCCCAGUGUAGAGGUGAAAUUCGUAGAUAUUGGGAAGAACACCGGUGGCGAAGGCGGCCAUCUGGACGACAUCUGACGCUGAGGCGCGAAAGCGUGGGGAGCAAACAGGAUUAGAUACCCUGGUAGUCCACGCUGUAAACGAUGAAUGCUAGACGUUGGGGUUCUUGGAACUUCAGUGUCGCCGCUAACGCAUUAAGCAUUCCGCCUGGGGAGUACGGUCGCAAGAUUA
rnacentral:rRNA from 1 species